UAUAAUGGGUCAGCGACUUAUAUUCUGUAGCAAGGUUAACCGUAUAGGGGAGCCGAAGGGAAACCGAGUCUUAACUGGGCGUUAAGUUGCAGGGUAUAGACCCGAAACCCGGUGAUCUAGCCAUGGGCAGGUUGAAGGUUGGGUAACACUAACUGGAGGACCGAACCGACUAAUGUUGAAAAAUUAGCGGAUGACUUGUGGCUGGGGGUGAAAGGCCAAUCAAACCGGGAGAUAGCUGGUUCUCCCCGAAAGCUAUUUAGGUAGCGCCUCGUGAACUCAUCUUCGGGGGUAGAGCACUGUUUCGGCUAGGGGGCCAUCCCGGCUUACCAACCCGAUGCAAACUACGAAUACCGAAGAAUGUUAUCACGGGAGACACACGGCGGGUGCUAACGUCCGUCGUGAAGAGGGAAACAACCCAGACCGCCAGCUAAGGUCCCAAAGUCAUGGUUAAGUGGGAAACGAUGUGGGAAGGCCCAGACAGCCAGGAUGUUGGCUUAGAAGCAGCCAUCAUUUAAAGAAAGCGUAAUAGCUCACUGGUCGAGUCGGCCUGCGCGGAAGAUGUAACGGGGCUAAACCAUGCAC
rnacentral:rRNA from 1 species